AGCUCCAAUAGCGUAUAUUAAAGUUGUUGCAGUUAAAAAGCUCGUAGUUGGAUUUGUGGCGUACGGUGGGUUCCGGGCACUUGUUGUCUGAGUGACUUGCCGUUGCCAUCCUUGGGUGGAACCUGUGUGGCAUUAGGUUGUCGUGCAGGGGAUGCCCAUCAUUUACUGUGAAAAAAUUAGAGUGUUCAAAGCAGGCUUAUGCCGUUGAAUAUAUUAGCAUGGAAUAAUAAGAUAGGACUUGUUUGCUAUUUUGUUGGUUUGCGCAAAUAGGUAAUGAUUAAUAGGGACAGUUGGGGGUAUUCGUAUUCCAUUGUCAGAGGUGAAAUUCUUGGAUUUUUGGAAGACGAACUACUGCGAAAGCAUUUACCAAGGAUGUUUUCAUUAAUCAAGAACGAAAGUA
rnacentral:rRNA from 1 species